AAACUUUGGUUUCUCUUUAGAAUCAAUUAAUUUUUUGCCUUUUACUAAAGAUUUUUGUGAAGAGGACCAACCGGGCAUCUUUGGUAAAUAAUAGCUUGAGUUCUUUUCAUUUGGAAAGGC